UGGAGUUAACACCUGUCUGUGACAUCACCGCUGAUGUCAUCCCCUGCACCAUCAGGUAAACAACAGCUACAUGUAAACAACAGCUACAUGUAAACAACAGCUACAUGUAAACAAUACCUGCAGGUAAACAACACCUACAGGUAAACAACACCUACAGGUAAACAACACCUACAGGUAAACAUCAACUACAUGUAAACAACAGCUACAUGUAAACAACAGCUACAGGUAAACAACACCUACAUGUAAACAUCACCUACAGGUAAACAACACCUACAGGUAAACAUCAACUACAUGUAAACAACACCUACAUGUAAACAACAGCUACAGGUAAACAACACCUACAUGUAAACAUCACCUACAGGUAAACAACACCUACAGGUAAACAUCAACUACAUGUAAACAACACCUACAUGUAAACAUCAACUACAUGUAAACAACACCUACAUGUAAACAACAGCUACAUGUAAACAACAGCUACAGGUAAACAACACCUACAUGUAAACAUCACCUACAUGUAAACAACACCUACAGGUAAACAUCACCUACAUGUAAACAACACCUACAUGUAAACAACAGCCACAUGUAAACAACAGCUACAGGUAAACAACACCUACAUGUAAACAUCACCUACAUGUAAACAACACCUACAGGUAAAUAUCACCUACAUGUAAACAACACCUACAUGUAAACAACAGCCACAUGUAAACAACAGCCACAUGUAAACAACAGCCACAGGUAAACAACAGCUACAGGUAAACAACACCUACAUGUAAACAUCACCUACAUGUAAACAACGCCUACAGGUAAACAUCACCUACAUGUAAACAACACCUACAUGUAAACAACACCUGCAGGUAAACAACACCUACAGGUAAACAUCACCUACAGGUAAACAACAGCUACAUGUAAACAACACCGACAGGUAAACAACACCUACAGGUAAACAUCACCUACAGGUAAACAUCACCUACAUGUAUACAUCACCUACUUGUAAACAUCACCUACUUGUAAACAACACCUACAGGUAAACAACACCUACAGGUAAACAACACCUACAGGUAAACAUCACUGACAGGUAAACAUCACCUACAGGUAAACACAGGUAAACAACAUCUACAUGUAAACAACACCUACAGGUAAACAUCUACUUGUAAACAACACCUACAGGUAAACAACAUCUACUUGUAAACAAC